rnacentral:rRNA from 1 species
ACUGCUAUCGGAUUGAUACUAAGCCAUGCGAGUCAUUGUAGCAAUACAAGGCAGACGGCUCAGUAACGCGUAGUCAACCUAACCUAUGGACGGGAAUAACCUCGGGAAACUGAGAAUAAUGCCCGAUAGAACAUUAUGCCUGGAAUGGUUUAUGUUCCAAAUGAUUUAUCGCCGUAGGAUGGGACUGCGGCCUAUCAGUUUGUUGGUGAGGUAAUGGCCCACCAAGACUAUUACAGGUACGGGCUCUGAGAGGAGUAGCCCGGAGAUGGGUACUGAGACACGGACCCAGGCCCUAUGGGGCGCAGCAGGCGAGAAAACUUUGCAAUGUGCGAAAGCACGACAAGGUUAAUCCGAGUGGUUUCUGCUAAAGGAACCUUUUGUCGGUCCUAGAAACACCGAUGAAUAAGGGGUGGGCAAGUUCUGGUGUCAGCCGCCGCGGUAAAACCAGCACCUCAAGUGGUCAGGAUGAUUAUUGGGCCUAAAGCAUCCGUAGCCUGCUUUGUUAGUUUUCGGUUAAAUCUGUACGCUCAACGUACAGGCUGCCGGGAAUACUACAAAGCUAGGGAGUGGGAGAGGUAGACGGUACUCGGUAGGAAGGGGUAAAAUCCUUUGAUCUAUUGAUGACCACCUGUGGCGAAGGCGGUCUACCAGAACACGUCCGACGGUGAGGGAUGAAAGCUGGGGGAGCAAACCGGAUUAGAUACCCGGGUAGUCCCAGCCGUAAACCAUGCAAACUCAGUGAUGCAUUGGCUUGUGGCCAAUGCAGUGCUGCAGGGAAGCCGUUAAGUUUGCCGCCUGGGAAGUACGUACGCAAGUAUGAAACUUAAAGGAAUUGGCGGGGGAGCACCACAAGGGGUGAAG